GAACAAGAUUACGAGGCUUUCCACAUUUGACAGCGUCGUUAUUUCUUACAAAUUGACGAUUUACCAUCGAGGUACGAGUCAAGAUCUUGGAUGCGAUGAACAUCUUUAAUUUUUUAUAAAAUACUUCCGCAAGAUUUGAUGAAAAUUUGUUUCAAUCUCAACUCAAUAUGAAUAUGAGUUAAUUUUCUAAACCACACACACAAGUGUCUGGACUUGGUUGUGUGUGUCCUUGAAGCUGAAUAAAAAUCAACCAACAAAAGCGCCACUGUUGUUAUUUUACCGAAAUACUAAACGAUAAUUAAAUCAGAGAAAGUGAAAAUGGAGUUUACUGUUGACGUGAAUCUUGCAAGAGUUUAAAAUAAAUAAAUAAAAGGUGGAGUUGGUUCAUUUUUAUCUAUAUCAUGUUUUAAAAUCAAUACCAGACAUGAUACUGAAAUCAGCCGGCGUCUAUUAAUUUUUGGAUUUUUUUUUAAACAAUAAUAUAUUUUUAAAAAAAUAAUUGAAAAAAUUGCACCUGUAGUUUUUUAAAUUCUCCACAAGUGCAUAUUUUUUUUUUUGUUUUUGUUAUUUAUUUGUUGAAAAAAAUCUGAAAAUUACUAAUUGCUGACUUCAGGAUCAUUACCGGACUUACAAAAAAAAUUACUAAUUUUUGAACAAUUAGAAGAUCAUUUGAGACAAAAGUCUAUUUUUUUUGGAGAGAAAUUAUCAAAAUUAUUAAAAUUGCAUGCAAAGAAAAAUUAGCAGCAAUAAAUUAUUACAUAAGAUUGCACAAUAAAAUAAAAAAAUAUACUUACGCUCCA